GCUUCAAAAAUCCCAACUUUCUUUUUAAAACCAAAAAAAAA
rnacentral:sRNA from 1 species